AGUGAAUAGAUACCCUGGUAGUCCACGCCCUAAACGAUGAUUACUCGACAUUGGCGAUAUUACUGUUCAGUGUCUGAGCGAAAGCGUUAAGUAAUCCACCUGGGGAGUACGCCCGCAAGGGUGAAACUCAAAGGAAUUGACGGGGGUCGCACAAGCGGAGGAGCAUGUGGUUUAAUUCGAUGAUACGCGAGGAACCUUACCUGGGCUAGAAUGCGCGUGAAUGUUUCAGAAACGAGACAGGCUCAGCAAUGAGACACAAAGCAAGGUGCUGCAUGGCUGUCGUCAGCUCGUGCCGUGAGGUGUUGGGUUAAGUCCCGCAACGAGCGCAACCCUCAUCAUUAGUUGCCAACGGGUAGAGCCGGGGACUCUAGUGAAACUGCCUGCGUAAGCAGC
rnacentral:rRNA from 1 species